UAGGGAAUCUUCGGCAAUGGGGGGAACCCUGACCGAGCAACGCCGCGUGAGUGAAGAAGGUUUUCGGAUCGUAAAGCUCUGUUGUUAAGGAAGAACGAGCGUGAGAAUGGAAAGUUCAUACUGUGACGGUACUUAACCAGAAAGGGACGGCUAACUACGUGCCAGCAGCCGCGGUAAUACGUAGGUCCCGAGCGUUGUCCGGAUUUAUUGGGCGUAAAGCGAGCGCAGGCGGUUAGAUAAGUCUGAAGUUAAAGGCAGUGGCUCAACCAUUGUAGGCUUUGGAAACUGUUUAACUUGAGUGCAGAAGGGGAGAGUGGAAUUCCAUGUGUAGCGGUGAAAUGCGUAGAUAUAUGGAGGAACACCGGUGGUGAAAGCGGCUCUCUGGUCUGUAACUGACGCUGAGGCUCGAAAGCGUGGGGAGCGAACAGG
rnacentral:rRNA from 1 species